GGGGUAGAGGGAGGUUGGAGGGAGAGAUGGAGGGGUAGAGGGAGGUUGGAGGGAGAGAUGUAGGGGUAGAGGGAGGUUGGAGGGAGAGAUGGAGGGGUAGAGGGAGGUGUGGAUGGAGAGAUGGAGGGGUAGAGGGAGGGAAGGAGAGAGGGAGGGAUAAAUAAAGGGGAACAGGAAUGGGGGUGUUUGAAAGGGUCAAUGCUAGAUUGGAUGCACUAGGGGUUUCAUAUCAUUUGUUAGAUCCUUGUCUGUUUGUUCGUUCAUUUACCCCACAACCCCACCCGGCCCCCCUACCC
ensembl:lncRNA